rnacentral:rRNA from 1 species
GAUCAUGGCUCAGGACGAACGCUGGCGGCGUGCCUAAUACAUGCAAGUAGAACGCUGAAGAGAGGAGCUUGCUCUUCUUGGAUGAGUUGCGAACGGGUGAGUAACGCGUAGGUAACCUGCCUGGUAGCGGGGGAUAACUAUUGGAAACGAUAGCUAAUACCGCAUAAAAUGGAUUAUCGCAUGAUAAUUCAUUGAAAGGUGCAAAUGCAUCACUACCAGAUGG